rnacentral:lncRNA from 1 species
CUGGAGAAGAGGAACAUUUUUUGCAGCUUUUGUGUCCUAUGAUCACAGUGCUGAAAAUAAACUGAAAAAGACAAUAAAUCUGAGUUAAAUUUAUUGAGUAUUCUCAUCAAUGACAUCGAUUCGACCGACUGGCCGGAGGCGUUGAUGUGAUCCUGGUGCAUCGACCUCAUAGCUUCUUGAGCGAUGGUAAGUCUCUUGUCGUGACAGGCUUUCCCUGUCUCCGCCUCAGUUCGGCUUAAGGAGGCCAUCUGUGUGCAGUGUAGCAUGGGACUCCCCAGCAGUACAGUGCCUCUGCUUUGUUUGUCCUGAGACAUUGUCCCUGCUUCACAGAGGAGGACUUUGCAGCUGAGGGGACAAGCCACUUCUUGAGGUCAGACAGGCAGUGACUUGGCGGAGCCAGGGUUUGAGUCCAGAUCAGACUUUCCGACAGUGCAGCACCCACCAGCGCAUCCCUACUAACCCGCCCCAGGUAGUUCUAACGAACAGCUAAUUAAAAACCCCCUCAGUCCUUCUGGCCAGCAGAGCUGAGCGCUGAUUCUCAGUAGUUGAAUUCACUGAUGAAUUCAGUCGGAUAUGAGGUUGUCCCAUGGCUGUCACAGCAGUGGGAUUCCAUAAAACAUGAGACAGAGGGAGGCAUCCAACCUGCUAAUGUGGCCUGGGCCCGUCUUUAUUGUCGCGCAGGAACCAGAUGUAACUACCUCUUGCUGACUGGUUUCAUUAAGAUUUAAGAACCACUCAUUCUUUUGGAUGCACAUCUAAAUGUGUACUCACCGUGAUAAAACCUACUGGACAGAAGUCCGUGGAUGUGCUAAUUAAUAAGACACAGCUCUUCUUUUAGUUGUUUGGAAAGGUACUUUCCAAACAUUCCUUUGGGCAGCUAAUGUGUCUUUUAAUUUUUUUUUCCCCUUUAUGCCCUUAAUGAGGUCUUGGUUAUGCCCUUAAUGAGGUCUUGGUUUCAAUCAGAUCUGAGAGAGUCCUGCUGAACAAUGCUGUUCUGUGAACACAGUAAUUUGAUAGGAGCUUAGUGGCUGGGGACCAUGUGCAGCCAGGGUCCUCCUCCUCGUUAGGUGCUGGAUGCAGCCAGCAAUCCUAAGCAGUUUUCUAACUUGGUAAUUGGAAUAUUUAGGGUGAAUUUCCAUCAUCAGUGGGAGUAGGUACACUAAAAUACCUGAUUCCAAAGUGCAUGCACAGGAAUUGUGAGUGGGUGGAGUGCAGGAUGCUUGAUUUCUGGGGAAAUGUGAGCUUGAGGGUGAAGACCACUAUCACUCACCACAAAUGCCAUCACAUCACAGCCACGUGAUGCAGGGUAUGUGACAGGGAAAGGGACUUGUUCAAAUGGAUUUUGUUGGCUGGUUGGUUGGUUGGGUUUUAAUCUGUUCCACCAAAUCCCACAACUGAUAACAUUGAACAUUUACAAAGUACCUGAUUUGGAUCAAUCCCUGAAUGAAAUGCUAUUUAACUCUCUCUCUCUCUCUCUCUCUCUCUCUCUCUCUCUCUCUCUCUCUCUCUCUCUCUCUCUUUUUUGUUGUUGUUUGGUGGUGCUGGGGAUUGAACCCAGGGCCUUGUGCAUGCUAGGCAAGCUCUCUACCAACUGAGCUACAUCCCCAGCCCACUACUAUUUAACUCUUACAUCCUACAAUUAUUAUAAUUCCAAUUCUACAAGUAAAUGAUGAAAAGGAAGCCCAGGGAGUUUAUGUUAUUUGCCCAACAUGUUGAAGCUAUAUAACACCUAAAGAGAAACGUGUAAUUGGAUGGGUUUCCACGAAGUGAGCUCACUCAUGGAACCCCACCCAGGACAAGAAACAGGGCACAGAAGGCGCCUGGGACCCAAGCACUCUCAGCCCUUGCAAGGGUCACCACCAUCUCAUUCUAACACCACCCCAGGCUCGCCUGUGUUUGAGCUUUCCUGUCGUAGACUCAUACAGCAUGUGGCCUUCUGUGUGUGGCUCCUUUCACCUACAGAGAGGAGAGAGGUGGGAGAGGGUCAUUCUUUUGCAGGGAGGUGGGGGGAGGGCCUGCGCAAGCUAGGCAAGCACUCUGCCACUGGGCUGCACCCCAGACCCAGAAUUGAUUCUCAGGCGUGCCAUAGGAGAGUGUCAUUGCUUUUCAUCUGUCACUGUUUAUCAAAAAGACAUUCAUGGGCCCCUGCUCUGCUGCGUGACUCCUGCCAUAAAUCAAAGUGUCCCUCUAUGUGGGUCUUCAGGCUUUCUGACUUGUUCUGAUCAUCUAUUUUUUUCUCUUCUUGCGUCAAUAGCGCACUGAAGUCUUGGUACCCAGUUGAGAAACUCUUCCAGAUUUUUGUUCUUCAGGAUUGCUAAGUAAUAGACUCAUUGCAUUAUCAUGGAACUUUUAGAAUUAGCUUAUUAAUGUUCAUAAAAUGCCUGCUGGAAUUUUAAUUGGGAUUGUAUUGCAUUGGGACAGAUCAAUUUGGUAUAUAACAUCACAUUUUAGUCCAUGAACAUCUCUCCAUUUAUUUAGGUCUUAUUUGAAGUUUUUGAAUAUUAUUUUAUUGUUUUCAGCAUAGUAGUCUUGAACAUAUUUUGUCAGAUUUUCUGGUUGUUAGAUUUUUUAAAUGUUAUCUUUUUUUUUUUUUGUACUAGGGAUUGAACUCAGGGAUACUCAGCCACUGAGCCACGUCCCUGUAUUUUAUUUAGAGACAGGGUCUCACUGUUUUGUGCCUCGCCAUUGUUGAGGCUGGCUUUGAACUCUCUAUCCUCCUGCCUCAGCCUCCUGAGCUGCCGGGAUUACAGGUGUGCGCCACUGUGCCCGGCUCUACUCAUUUCUUUACUAUUUAUUUCUUUUCUCUUUCUUUGAGUCUAAUUUGUAAUUAAACUCAAUGAAUUUUCUAACUUCAUAUUUAUUUUUAGCCUUUCCCAACACACUUUCCUGUAAACUUAAGUUCAGUUAUAGCCCACAAAUUUAGGAUUGCACUAUAGUUCGGCUCAAAAUAUGUUCUAAUUUCCAUUUUAUUUAUCUUUCACUUGUGGUUUACUUAGAAGUGCAUUUUCAAAUUUUCAAACACAUUGGGAUUUUUCAUUUAUCUUUUUGUUGUAGAUUUCUUAGCUAAAGAAAAAGGUAACAUGGUAUAGGUACUUCAAAUCUUUUGACACUUUUCAAGACCUGAAAACUCAGUCGUACACCAGUCUAAAACACUUCUAGACACACUCGUAGUUACACAAGGGACGCCGGUGACCUCAUGGUCUAAGAAGACACAGUAAACCUAGUUCAAACAAUUCAUUUAAAAAGUUCAGUGGACACAAACAAGACUAAAAAUAGAUAAGAUAGUACAUGGUUUUCUUUACACAUUUUCAAAGGAUGAUAGUAACAUUUAAACGAAUGAAGAGAAUUAUUAGAUAGGUAAAUACGAAGAAUAUUUAACUUUGACUGGAACCGUGACACAUUAUCACUGACUCCUCCGACUCCAUCCUCCUAACUUUCAAGUUCCGGCUGGAGUCGUUGAAUCGUUUUGGGAUAGAAUUUUUUUUAUUUAUUUAUUUUUCUUCCCUCUAGACCCCCACGUCAAAUCACCAUUUCGUAAGGUCCCAAUUUAGGAAUCAUGUUUUUUUCAAUUUUUAACUUCACCACGAUAAUUCCACAUAUGUUUAAAGACUUAACGACAUAGAAGGACUUCUCAACCUAUAAAACAUUAAUACUAGACAGAAGGGAAUAACGAGAAACUGGAUCUCAGAUAAAACAGACUAUAAUCUCUCGAUUUAAUCAAAGAAGAUAAACAUACCGUGAUUUUUUUCCAAACUUUUUACUUUUUACUUUUUUUUUUUUUUGAUACUAGAGAUUAAACCCAGAGGCACUUAACUACUGAGCCUCAUCCCCAGCCCUUUUUAUUUUUUGAGACAAAGUCUUGCUAAGUUGCUGAGCGUUUCCCCAAGUUGCCCAGGCUGAACUUGAACUUGCUCUGGUUUGAGGAGCAUGCUGCCAGGCCCCAUUGACGUGAACCCUGCUCUUCUGAGCACCCCUGGGAGAACGUGGUAAGCUGUAGGAGCCCAGGGAGGUCUUGGCUGGAGGAACAGAGGCCUGGUCCUUCUCAGGUCUGAGAAGCUGAAUUUAACCCCAGGACCUAGAGGGGCUGCAUCUUGUAGCCAUCCCACAGAUUUGGGGUGAUAUCAAUCAGUAAAUGAACCAGUCAAUGUCUAAAACUGCUUUUGUAUGAAGCAGACGUGGACAUCAGGAGAAGCACGGAGACCCGGGCACACCCUCAAACCAGGUCGGGGCCCGCGGAGCUGUGGCUGCUCCCACGGCGUGGAUGCUCUCUGGAGCAGAGCCUGCCCUUCUCAGAAGUCAGGGGCCUCCGGGGAAGAGGGUUUCCUUGGCAUGCGCCCAGGGACAAUGGCUCAGCGAGGACCUUCUCACUGGUGAGAACCAGGCAGGCGAGCAGUGUGGCUGCCACUUUCUGGGAGUGACUACUUCUGUGAUUCUGUCCUCGUCACCCGUGCUGUCCUGGGCUCUGCAGGCUGAAUUCCCGCGAGUAGACAGGGGCCCGCGUGCUCCUGUGCUCUGGACCACCCUACAGCAGUCUGGGUUUGGGAGGAGCCAAUGUCGCUGCACUGCCCCCAGCCCCCAACCUGCACCACCAUCGUCCUGCCAGGGUGACUGCUGAGAGAACAGGAAGUGCUGACCGAGGCCACCCAGCUACUUGGUAUUCUGGGGAGGAAGGCAGCAGGAGGCAGAAUCCUCAGCUGAACCUGCCUGGCCGCUCUGAGGCUGCAGGGCACUUGGCAAAAGGGCCAGGAAGUGAAAUAACAAAGUUUCCAAAGGCCCACACUCAAGGGGGCCUGGGGCAUGCAGUGGCCUCCGCUGUCCCCACUCUGUGGAGAAUCUCUGGGGUCCAGAAAAAGGAGGAAGCUGUUGUGCUGGGGUCAGGAAUCAUCCUAUAAGAAGCCAGCCCGAGGGGUAGAGGACAGGGCACCUCACCAGCACCACCAGCAGCUUGCUGAACAGUGCCCCCUCACAGUGCAAAUGACUGAUGACAGCCCAGGAAGUGCCCAGCCUCAAGGUCAUGCCCCAGGCCCCCUUGAGUGUGGGCCUGAGAUGAGGGAGGGGAGGGGAACCACAGUCACGUUGGUGGGUGGGCCAACAAACUACUGGUCUCCCCUAUUUCCUGGGAGUCAGACCCCAGAAUGUAAAUCCUAUUAACACUGACAAGUGAAAGAGGCCUGAGACGCACCAGGUGCUUGGCUCUGGGCUGACAGAGGCCCUGGUGCCCAGGGUCAAGCGUGUCUCCCUUCAGACAGACACACACCCUGCCCCGGUGUCCCCCUCCCAGUCCGGCCUCCUCAGACCUGUCUUCAACUCCUGGCUGACUCCUCUGAGCUCUGCUCAGGUGGGGCACAUGAGGAGGGCGUGGCAGGGCAGGGCAGCCGGCUGCUUCACCGGGCACCUUAGGGUCCCUGCUUGGUCAACAAGGGGAGCUGAUGUUGUGCAGGCCUUGAGAACCCAGGGCCCCCUCAGCAAAAGCUACCCACUUGCAAAAAUCCUGCUGACUCAGCCCCCGAAGGCUGACCAGGCUGAGGUGGCCCCACCUGCUCAGAAAGUUCCAGAGCAGGUAAAUGGCAAGGAUAGCACACAGAGGUAACUGGUCUACUGCCUCUUCUGGAGAGUGAGCCAGAGGCCGCUCUGAUGGAUGGGGGUCUUCAGGUGGCGAGUGUGGGGGGCAUCUGGGCAGAUAGCAAACCAGCUGGGCCAGAGCAUGGAGACUGGCAUGGAGGCGGAGGUCUGAGGGCAGGUUGGGGCGAAGGCGCCACCUGGCCUGCCCCAAACAGGUGCUGCAUGGGGGGGCAGAGGCUGAGGGCCAGGGGCAAAUACCACCCACACCCACUUCAUCCACAGCAGGAGGAACAGUGAGAGGAACCCCAGACACAUUGACUUUCCCUUGAUCCCCAAAGACAUUCUUCCUGUGCGGCUACUUGAGAUGCAGACAUGGAAAGUGGAUAUUUGGGGGUCAGUAGGAGGGAAUGGCCUGGCCCCAUGGACGGGUAGGGAGACAGGGAUGGUAGGGAGACAGGGGGCCCCGGAAAUCCCCAGGGAAGUUCUGGGAGUAGUAGGGACUUUUCUUCAACCCUCAGUCCCUUCCCCAGAUAAGACUUCCAGUUCCCCCAGCAGCCCAAGGGACAGUCACCAUGGUUUGUGGACACUAAAAUGUCCAGAAUGUCAGGUUCACAUGAUGCUCCUGCUCUGUAGGCAGCUUCCCCAGAGCUGCAGGGGAGUUCUUAAGGGAAGUGUCAUGAUUAUUGCUGCUUUUGGAGUACUACCCUCCUCUCUGCAGGGCCCUUCUAUCCCCUCCUAUUUAGUGGAUGUGUGUGUGUGUGUGUGUGUGUGUGUGUCUCUGCUCACCCCCAAUAGGAGGCCACCCAUAGGUGCUACAAGGACCAGACCCAGAAGCUGGGUUCCAACCAACCAUGUCCACAGGCUCCAUGCUGGGUGGCCUUAGACCAGGGUCAUGAGCACUCUCUUGACUCUCUUGGCCUGUCUUUACUCAUUCAUCUUUAAAAAGGAUUUUAACCCUUUAGGGGUGUCCAAAAAUCAGGGGAAAAGAUGGAUGUAAAGGAAUCCACCCAUGAUUACUCUUUAGAUGGAAAGGGCACAUAUACACUUAUUUAUUUGCUAUUAUUCAUUCAUUCAACAAAUAUUCUUUGUGCUUGGUACUAAGAAGUCAGCAGAGAAGGAAAGACAACAGAUGUAGCCCUUGUUCUCAGGAAUCCAACAGCUCAAGGCAGGCAUGAUACAGAGAUUGCGGUCCAUGUCACGAAGGGUCAGGUGGGAGUGGUGAGCCCAGUGGUGAGCUCUGAACGGGGACAGUUCGCCAACAUGACCUGGAGGAUGGGCUGAACUACCCAGGUCAGCCCCGGAGGCUGAGGCUCAGCAGAGGAUCUGAGCCUGGGAGUCUGUCCACAGGGGACCAGACACUUAGGCUCAUCCGUCAGAGUAAGACCAAGAGCCUGGCACUCUGCCCACACAGGGAUGGAGCCAGUGGUAGCAGAUGGGUCCUGGGUAUGUCAGAAAAGGUGCUGGGAAAGGGGGGCCCAGGGCAGGAUGGGGAGUCCUUUGGGGGAAAUGGUAGAACCAUCAGAAAUCCAGUUCCCGGAGGACCAGUUACAAGGGUGGCAUCUGGGCCAGGCAACAGUGUCCCACACGGUCUGGCCACCAGCAUGGCCCUCUCCCCACCGCACCCAGGGCCAGAUCAUAUGGCUUUGUCUCUUUUAUCUCUGGCCCCAAGCACCACCCAAGGACUCUGGCUUUCCACACUCUGUUCAAGGUCAGGAUCGUAUGCUGUUACUCCAUGGGGCCAUGCUGGCUUUGGCCUCCUUCUGAGUACGCAGCAGGUUUCAGAGUCUGGGACCACAGUGAUCUUCUGGACGGACGUUCAGUGGUGCCGGAGCGGUGCUCUUGUGUGCUGAACACAUGGUGAGGAAAAGCCAGAGGGUCGAGAUGUUUGGAAACAAGCUGCCCCUUGCCCUGUAUGCGCAACUCCCCAGGCCAGGAUUCCCAGGGACUUUUAAGGAGUUAACAGACACAAACCCUUAAAUAGGUCUGAUAUUAUAGCCCUAUAAUUACAGAGAACAGAUUCCCUGUGGCUCUUGACACCCAUUCUCCAUCCUUAAGUGGUUCCAGACCCUGAGUGCUGUCCUCACUGGGCAGUGGGUGCUGUUUGUGUUCGUUUUCAAGGGAAGGACACAGAUUCAAGGCAGGGAGGACCUGGCCCAUGGGAAGCACACAGCCGGCCACAUUCACAGCUGCUUUAAGCAGCCAGUUCUGCUCUUGACCUUGGACUUGGGCUAGGAUCAUUUGUCCUUGGUUCCUUUCACUUUUGUGACUAAGAACAUGAAACCAUCAGGGUCCUUGUUUGUGCUUGUUUUCAAUCUCUGCAGCUUCACUACAGGCUGAUCCAGGGCUCCGGCUGCCCCAUUGUGAUUCUGCGGCCAUUGCCCAACUCCAUGGAUGCUGACGUCAGCAAAACCACGUGAAGAAGGGUCUUCUGCGCUGGACGCUGCCCAGGCGUGUGGUGGGCAGCCAGCAGGUGUCCUCUGGCAUCAGACCUACAUCCAGACAAGCUCAUGAUAAUUCCUGGGAGAGGCUGGCCCCAGAAAAAGAAAGGAGCUUUCUGUGAAAGAAACAAAUGUCCCAAGAUGCCUCCUUUAACUAAGAAGAGCUAGGGAGUGACACACAGUCCUGGAUUUUAGAACCACCAUUGGACUGAAACAAGUGUGCCAAAGAGGAGCACAAAGGACAUCACCUUAAGACUUAGAGGAGGUACAUACUUAAUGGUGUUAAGCAUUGCAAAAUGGAAAAAAUUACAGAAAGCCAUUGUUUUGGACUAGGCUUCUGCACUGGCCCCAGCAGACCAGCUAAAACCAAAAACGGAGUCCCUCAGGCUAAAUUCCACAUCACCACACUGAAGCUGUUUUAUCUGACCUGUUGAAACUAAGCUCUUUAUCUGACCUUUGAGAAAUCAGGAUUAGAGAGAUAAUAGCCAAAUUUCCCAAACAAGCUGGCGUGAUAGUGAAGUUCCCUCUGCUUUAAUCUUCACAGAAAAGAAGUCACCUGAUAUAACCUGAUGUUAUUUACCAAUGGCCAUUUUUUCUCUUCUGCCCCCUUUACUUUUGUUUCUUGCUUUCUUUCGUCUUUGUCUGUCUAUAAAAUUCACCUCUUCUGCUCAGGACAUGG